UGGGGAAUAUUGGACAAUGGGCGCAAGCCUGAUCCAGCCAUGCCGCGUGAGUGAUGAAGGCCUUAGGGUUGUAAAGCUCUUUUGUCCGGGACGAUAAUGACGGUACCGGAAGAAUAAGCCCCGGCUAACUUCGUGCCAGCAGCCGCGGUAAUACGAAGGGGGCUAGCGUUGCUCGGAAUCACUGGGCGUAAAGGGCGCGUAGGCGGCCGAUUAAGUCGGGGGUGAAAGCCUGUGGCUCAACCACAGAAUUGCCUUCGAUACUGGUUGGCUUGAGACCGGAAGAGGACAGCGGAACUGCGAGUGUAGAGGUGAAAUUCGUAGAUAUUCGCAAGAACACCAGUGGCGAAGGCGGCUGUCUGGUCCGGUUCUGACGCUGAGGCGCGAAAGCGUGGGGAGCAAACAGG
rnacentral:rRNA from 5 species